rnacentral:lncRNA from 1 species
AUCCAAAAACAUCACUAGAGGUAUGACUAAUUAACCUAGAAUUCAAAGCAUUCUAUUAGGAUUCCCAUAAACAAAAUAUUUGACCAAGCUUUGGAAAACCAGGGCUCAGACGUGCCUUUUCCGAUUCAAGAAGCAUGGUUUGUAUCACCUUACCCGUAGCCCACAAGCAGAAUUUUGAGAGACUACAACGUACCUGACAAAGUAACUCUAAGUAAGCCUUAAAGGUUGCUUAGCUGUUUUUCUAACAAAGAGAGUCAGGGGAGAGCGCGAACGCAGUCCCCCACUACCACAAAUUAUGCAGUCGAGUUUCCCGCAUUUGGGGAAAUCGCAGGGGUCAGCCCAUCCGGAGUGCAAUGGAUAAGCCUCGCCCUGGGGGAAACCACCUUCGUGAUCAUGGAAUCACCCCUGCCAGGUAAGUAUGCUUUACCGUCGCGCACGCCCGCACGCCCUCAAUAACGACAAAUAUAAAGAUCAGGGUUAGUAAUAUGAAAAUUUCCGAACUGGCCACAUCGAGCUCCAGGCACUCAAGCUGCAGAGAGCUCAGUGAUUU